UCCGAAUUGGUGUAGUGGCCAACAUUUGACGCUCUCAUCGUAGCCUGUCCAGUGAAUGGUGUAGGUUAGGGGAAGUGCCGUCAAGCCCGGGGUUCGAUUCCCCGAUUCGGAG